rnacentral:rRNA from 1 species
UACGUAGGGUGCAAGCGUUAAUCGGAAUUACUGGGCGUAAAGCGUGCGCAGGCGGUUAUGUAAGACAGAUGUGAAAUGCCCGGGCUUAACCUGGGAACUGCAUUUGUGACUGCAUGGCUAGAGUUUGGCAGAGGGGGGUAGAAUUCCACGUGUAGCAGUGAAAUGCGUAGAUAUCAGGAAGAACACUUAUGGCGAAGGCAGCUCUCUGGGACGGUACUGACGCUGAGACGCGAAAGCGUGGGGAGCGAACAGG